AGCAUGUGCACACCUUGUCAUCUUUAUAUCUCCACCUGUGCAUCUUUUGUAGACCUUUCAGGUCUAUGUUGCUUCAUUUACCCCAAUGUAUGUUAAUAGAAUGUUGUGACUAUAUAAAAUUUAUACAACUUUCAGCAACGGAUCUCUUGGCUCUCGCAUCGAUGAAGAACGCAGCGAAAUGCGAUAAGUAAUGUGAAUUGCAGAAUUCAGUGAAUCAUCGAAUCUUUGAACGCACCUUGCGCUUCUUGGUAUUCCGAGGAGCAUGCCUGUUUGAGUGUCAUUAAUAUAUCAAUCUUCUCUUGUUGAGUGGUUUGGAUGUGGGGGUUUGCUGGCCUCUGAAAAGAGGUUCAGCUCCUCUGAAAAACAUUAGCAGAGCGACUCUGUUCAUUAGUGUGAUAACUAUCUAUGCUAUUGAAUGUGUGUGGUUCAGCUUUCUAACCGUCCUUGGACAAAUUUAUCAUUUAUGUGACCUCAAAUCAGGUAGGACUACCCGCUGAACUUAAGCAUAUCAAUAAGCGGAGGAAAAGAAACUAACAAGGAUUCCCCUAGUAACUGCGAGUGAAGCGGGA
rnacentral:rRNA from 1 species